rnacentral:rRNA from 1 species
AGGGCACCACCAGGAGUGGAGCCUGCGGCUUAAUUUGACUCAACACGGGGAAACUCACCCGGCCCGGACACCGGAAGGAUUGACAGAUUGAUAGCUUUUUCAUGAUUCGGGGGAUGGGGGUGCAUGGCCGUUCUUAGUUCGGGGAGCGAUUUGUCUGGGUUAUUCCGAUAACGAGCGAGACUCUAGCCUACUAAAUAGUUCGCACAUUGUCUCUGGGUGGGGGACUUCUUAGAGGGAUUUUCGGGGGUCACCCCCACGAAAUUUUUGCAAAUUUAGGUCUGUGAUGCCCCUAGAAGUGCGGGGCUGCACGCCCGCUACACUGGGAAAAUCACCGUGCUUGUCCCUCCCCGAAAGGGGGUGGAAAACCCCUGAAAAUAUGCCGGGGUAGGGAUUGGAAAUUUCAUUUUUUUUCCCUGAAAGAGGGAAUCCAAGUAAGGGGGAGACUUCUUUCUCGUGGAUUAACCCCUGCGCCUUGUACCCACCCCCCCGUCCCUGUUCGGGACUUUGCCAUUUUCAAAA